rnacentral:rRNA from 1 species
GGGGAAGUAUGGUUGCAAAGUUGAAACUUGAAGGAAUUGACGGAAGGGCACCACCAGGAGUGGAGCCUGCGGCUUAAUUUGACUCAACACGGGAAAACUUACCAGGUCCGAACUUAUUGAGGUAAGACAGAUUAAUAGCUCUUUCUCCAAAUUAAGGGUAGUGGUGCAUGGUGACUCAAUCAAAUUAAAUAGAACGCUAUCAGCAGUCAGAUGUUGAUCCCGUCGGCCGGAUGGGCACGUCGGCCGUUCGCACGGUCGUGCGCGAUCCAUCCACCGGCGGUGUAGUGUGACCUGAUAAUACAUCAACUCAUUGAGGUUGAUAAUCUGCUUGUGAUGAGCAAAAUGAGAUUGAGCGAUCCGUGAUGCCCUUAGAUGUUCUGGGCUGCACGCGCGCUACAAUGUGAGCAGCAGCGUGUACCCUACGCCGAAAGGCGCGGGAAAUCACUGAAAUGCUCAUUUAGUCGGGAUUAUGGAUUGAAAUGGUCCAUAUGAACCUGGAAUUCCCAGUAAGUGCUGGUCAAUAGCUAGCGUUGAUUACGUCCCUGCCCUUUGUACACACCGCCCGUCGCUACUACCGAUGGAUUAUUUAGUGAGGUCUUUGAAGGUGAACAUUUGCUAGUCCUUCCCGGAUUACAUUUGAAUCGCUGAAGUUGACCGAACUUGAUGAUUUAGAGGAAGUAAAAGUCGUAACAAGGUUUCUGUAGGUGAACCUGCGGAAG